AUGUUGUGUUUGCCUUUUUUUAAGAUGCCAGGAGAAACUGCCUCUACCUGCAAGAAAGGCGCACGAUGGCAUUUGGGGAUGGGAGUCCUCCUCCGGCACCGGAUCACUGGAGGCAAACAUCGAAUUAAUUGGAUCUCAAUGACUGAGGGUAGAGCACAGCGAGGCAAGGCAACCCCAGCUGGAAAACAGUGCUUUUUGAGAUUUCUCCAUAGCACGGCUCCGCUUAAUACUCGGAUUUUCAAAAAUAAUAUGACAAAGGAAAAUAAAAGGCAUGCCAAAAUGUAUUGCUAG
rnacentral:lncRNA from 1 species